rnacentral:rRNA from 1 species
CCUACGGGUGGCAGCAGUGGGGAAUAUUGCACAAUGGGGGAAACCCUGAUGCAGCGACGCCGCGUGAGUGAAGAAGUAUUUCGGUAUGUAAAGCUCUAUCAGCCGGGAAGAAAAUGACGGUACCUGAGUAAGAAGCCCCGGCUCACUACGUGCCAGCAGCCGCGGUAAUUCGUAGGGGGCAAGCGUUAUCCGGAUUUACUGGGUGUAAAGGGAGCGUAGACGGCAGCGUAAGUCUGAAGUGAAAUGCCGGGGCUUAACCCCGGAACUGCUUUGGAAACUGUGCAGCUAGAGUGCAGGAGAGGUAAGUGGAAUUCCUGGUGUAGCGGUGAAAUGCGUAGAUAUUAGGAGGAACACCAGUGGCGAAGGCAGCUUACUGGACUGUAACUGACGUUGAGGCACGAAAGCGUGGGGAGCGAACAGGAUUAGAUACCCGGGUAGUC